rnacentral:hammerhead_ribozyme from 1 species
GCAUUACUGAGGAGUCCCAAAAUAGGACGAAACAGCCGUUCAGUGC